GGUAAACUCCUCCUGGGCACCGGAUACGCAUACUAAUGGGUUGGAUGUAGAAGGUUGCUCGGAACACUACUCCGCUAGAAACACUUUCGCGUUUUGGAGAUGUCUUCUGGUAAUUUAGCUCAAAGCUCAAAUUCUCGUCUCACGUUUACAAACACUACCAAAGAUCUAACAAGAUAUCAGCCGG